UUUAGAGGAAGUAAAAGUCGUAACAAGGUUUCCGUAGGUGAACCUGCGGAAGGAUCAUUAUCGAGUUUUUGAACGGGUUGUAGCUGGCCUUGUAACAGAGGCAUGUGCACGCCUGGCUCAUCCACUCUCUUAACCCCUGUGCACCAUAUGUAGGAAUGAACGGUGAACGUAUCUGCUUAGCGGGUGCUGAAGCCUUAGUUCUUAUGUUUACUACAAACGCUUCAGUUUUAGAAUGUUUACUGUGUAUAACACAAAUAUACAACUUUCAGCAACGGAUCUCUUGGCUCUCGCAUCGAUGAAGAACGCAGCGAAAUGCGAUAAGUAAUGUGAAUUGCAGAAUUCAGUGAAUCAUCGAAUCUUUGAACGCACCUUGCGCUCCUUGGUAUUCCGAGGAGCAUGCCUGUUUGAGUGUCGUGAAAUUCUCAAUCCCUUAGAUUUCUUAAUGAAGUCUAAUGGGGCUUGGACUUGGAGGCUGUGUCGGCUCUAGUCAGCUGACUCCUCUUAAAUGCAUUAGCGUGAAUCUUUUACGGAUCGCCUUCAGUGUGAUAAUUAUCUGCGCUGCGGUGUUGAAGUAUUUUUUAUAGUUCAUGCUUCUAAUCGUCUCUCACGAGACAAUCACUUUGACAAUCUGGCCUCAAAUCAGGUAGGACUACCCGCUGAACUUAAGCAUAUCAAUAA
rnacentral:rRNA from 1 species